UCGGGGAUUUUUUUUUGUGAAUUUAAAAUAGUCUUAAUUUUCCAUUUUACAUAACCACAGUGAACUUGCUAUGUAAUCAUAUAUGUAUAAGAAUCAAUAUUAAACAUUUAUGGUGUGAUCUCGAUCAGAUAUGUUUCCUGGUUGUCUUGAUGAUGAUAAAGUGUUUUAAUUUUAUUCACAAAAUUUAAAUAUUUAAUAUUUUAUAUUUUGUGACAAGGGUCAAAAUAUAAGGAAUUGAGAAAUAAUUUGACAAAAAUUGAUGAGAUAUUGUUGUUUUUAUCUUUAUGAUCUUAAAUGUAAAUAUAUAAAAAGAUAGAAGAUCAAUCAAACAUUUAUUUUUUUGAUUAAAGUUAAACAAAAUCUGAU
rnacentral:lncRNA from 1 species